rnacentral:lncRNA from 1 species
AUUCAUUGUAGUUUCAAUACCCCUUGUUGAACAAUAUAUGCGCACGAGAUGAGUGUUGAACUAUUAGUACAUCAAGGUUCUAACAUGAUCAUUCUUCUGCUCUCUUCCAGUAUUACAAUGGAAAUUAGCUCAUUAAGUACUGACAUUUUCUCUUUUCUCAAAAUUUGGACUCGUACUUGAUCAUAUUCAAGAUUUAAUCCUGCUAGCAAUUGAUAAGCACAGUCUUUUUCUACAAAUUUCUUAAGAUCGGCUGCAUCUUUAUAGUUCAUGGUAAGGCUGUGAUACUCAUCUAGUUUUUUAAUAUAUUAGAUUAUUCAAUAACUGAGUUGUUCCAUUUUUUGGUGGAUCAUGUCUUGACAGUCAGUUCAUGAUUUUGCAUAGCAUUUUUAAUUUUAGAAUAAACUUCGUCGAUUGCAUUUUACACAUCUUUUACUGUAGGAAGGAAUAUCAUGGUUUUGCUAAUUUUUGGAGUUAUAGAGUUUCAAAGUUAUGUUAUGAUCAUAAAAUCCUCUUUGUCCCAAGCAUUGAAUGUGGGAUCUCCGGG